rnacentral:tRNA from 1 species
GGGCCCGUGGUCCAGCUGGUUAACCUAUUUGGCCAAGAGACGCUUCCCUCACGCGGAAGAAAUCGCCGGUUCAAAUCCGGCCGGGCCCA